rnacentral:lncRNA from 1 species
GAUGGGGUGUUGCUGUACUUGUUGGUGUGCCCAACAAAGAUGAUUCUUUCAAAACCCAUCCAAUGAGUUUCCUGAAUGAGAAGACUCUCAAGGGUACCUUCUUUGGCAACUACAAACCGCGCUCCGACCUUCCUUCAGUGGUUGAAAUGUACAUGAACAAGGUAUAUCUGAGUUCCCAUUAAUAUCACUCGGUAUGCAGUAUACGAAUAUAUUUCUGUAUAUGUAGUCCAAUUAUGGUCCCUGUGAAAUUUCUUCGUGGAAACUUGAAGGUAAAAUUAAUUGGUCAAAACAACAAACUAAAAUGAUCGAAAUUGAUUACUGGGAAUGAAACUUCUUAGCCUUCUUUGCUAGCGCAAUGCAAAUAGCACUCUGGGGAUAGCUCUGGCUGCUACUAGCUAAAUGUACCAGUGGUUUUGUAAAUGUGAGAGCUGGUUCCACCACACUACCAAACACAGGCUCAACACCAUUGCUUGGAUCUUCAAACUCUUGUGUGAAGAAACAAAACAGUAGCUAUUCCUUUAUUCAGUUUUGAUGCAUUCAAUUGUUAAACUUACUAGUUGUAAUGUCACAGGAGCUUGAGCUGGAGAAAUUCAUCACCCAUGAGGUCCCUUUCUCAGAAAUCAACAAGGCUUUUGACUACAUGCUUAGUGGAGCAAGUCUCAGGUGUAUCAUCCGCAUGGAAGCGUAAAAGAAGACUGGUUUGUCCGUCUGAAUGUGAGAAGGAAACAAUAAAAUCAUGUUUGGGAUUGUUAAAUGUUGAACAAAGUUGGUGAUGUUUUAGUUUCUUUCAGUAAAUUUCUUGUAUUGUAAAUGGCACAUUAGCUUCCCAGUUCAGGCAUGUACAGAUAAAUAAAAAAUUCAAGUGUUUUUCUGACUUCAGCUUCUUCAGUUUAUCUCCUUCAGCUUGUGUCUUUCUAAUUCUAUGUCUCUGCAUAUAUGAGAAGUAAUGUCCCAACAAGUAACAUUAAUCACAUGUCUUUGACUGUAUUUCCAUUUACCCACGUAGUUUUUGCUGUCUUCCGAUCUCAUAGAUGUCUUUGUAUGCGAGUAGAAGGGUCUGUGUUACCUGUCUUGUGUUUUUUCCUUUUCCGUACAGAAAAAUUCAGCAGUAAAAUUUCCAUUUUGUUCGUUUUCUGUUAAAGCAAUCUUUCUAGUUUGGUUUCUUGUCAAUUUAGUUGGCAAUCUUGGGGUAGUAAAUCGAUGUCACUAUGUUUUGUUGACCAAGCAUGUCUCAAGAAGCAGAAUUAGUUUUUUGUUGUUGUUAUUUUAGUGGCUAUAACCAGUUUUUUUUUGUUAUGUAACAGUAUAACCUGAAAUGCAAGGAGAUUUUCUUGCAAUUCAGUUUUAUUUCUAUUGUAUAAAUAAAUGCUUUGAUAUUCAAUAAAAUUAUCAUCUUCUGCAUCUUAAGAAUUAAAAGACUUGCUUUCUCUUGUAUAUAACCAAUAUGGUAUCAUAGCUGAUUAUUUUAUAUGUGAUAUUAAGAAAGCCGAAACACAAUCUCUAAAUAAUUAUCACCUAACACUACACAUCCAAUAUGAAUUCAGAGAUGUCAUUCACUGGGCACCUCUAGUGUUUGAUGAGAUAAAUUAUCAAGUUUGGGCUGUUAGAAUAAAAGUCUAUCUUGAUGCUAAUAACAUGUAGAAAGCUAUUGAACAAGUAUAUGAAGUUCUAACCUUGCCCGACAAUCCAAGUAUUGCACAAAUAAAAAAUCACAAAGAGAAGAAGCAAAGAAAAUCAAAAGCAAGAGCAACUUUGUUUGGAGCAGUCUCACCCACCAUUUUUAACAUAAUAAUUACUCUAAAACAACCAAGGAAAUUUGGGAUUUUUUAAAGGAAGAAUACGAAGGAAAUGAGAGGAUCAAAGGGAUGCAAGUGUUGAAUUUGAUCCGAGAAUUUGAGAUGCAAAAGAUGAAAAAAUAAAAAACAAUUAAGGAAUAUUCUAAUAGACUUCUUGGCAUUAUCAAUAAUGUAAGAAUCCUUGGUACUGAUUCUUCUGAUUUUAGAAUUGUUCAAAAGAUCCUAGUAAUAAUUUUUGAGAAGUUUGAGACAACAAUCUUCAUAAAAGGACAAAACUUAUGGGUUAUAAAUAUAUCAUGAGACCUUCAAAACAAAGGUUCACAAUCUUCAUUCUCUAUUGCAUAUAUACUUUUAUAACAACUCUCUCUAGAAUAUUCUUAUAUUUUCUCUUUCUAAAAAGAUAUUUAUUUAAGUAUCAGAGAGUCCCACCUCCACCUAAAGGGACCUUUUGCAGGUACUAGUCAUAAGUCACCUUGACCUACCAAGCAUCCGGUAUAGCUAUUAACCUCCUUGUCUAGGGAGAAUUGAUGAGAUUGUUAGACCAGUUGAUUAACCAAUUAUCCAUCCUGAGAGCCUUAUUCCUAGGCUACUUGAAUUUUUAGAACUUCAUCAUAUAUACUUAGUAGAUUUGGCCUUGAUAUAUCUAAGGUGAAAGGAUAUUGCUUGUGAUGUGUUAAUCUCAAGUCAUAUAAGUUUAUUAUUUGAGGGAUGUGACAUUUAAAGAGUCUAUUAUGCUUCGCAAGAAAAAGAAGUCCACUAGUGUUGAUUUUGAGAUGGAUCAAGGUACUAACAAACAUGUGGAGCUUGAGGUUAAAGCUUCAGAGACAAUGCAAAAAUAUGUUCGAAUUGAACUAGUUGAUGAAGUGGUGCAUGAUAUUGUUGAUGAAAAUGCACUUGAAGAACAACAUUGUAAUAUUGCUAUAAGAAGGCAAAUAAGAUAGAUAAAAGCACUAGUUAAGUAUGAUUAUACUAAUCUAGUUGAUUUUUCCUUGAAUAUUGUAAAGAAUCUUGACAAUCAUGAGCCUUGUUAUAAAGAGGCAAUUUUUUUUACAAAUAAUCUUCUCAAUUGAUGUUUUUUAUGAACGAGAAGGUUGAGUCUCUUUAUAAAAACCAGACGUAUGAGCUUGUUAAAGAACCACAAGACCAAAAGAUUGUUGGGUGUAAAUGGGUUUAUAGUAGGAAAGAUUGAAUCUUAGGGGUUGAGGAUACUAGGUUUUAAACAUAACUAGUUGUUAAGGGCUUUACACAAAGAGAAUUGACUUCAAUUAAGUGUUCUAUGUAGUUGUGAAACAUAGUUCCAUCUAGGUAUUGCUUGCUAUGAUUACUUUAUUUGACUUAAAGCUUGAGUAGCUAGAUGUAAAAAUAACUUUUCUACAUGGUGAGCUGGAGGAGAUGAUCUACAUGCAUUAUCUAGAUGGUUUUAUUGCUCAAAGUUAGGAAGACCAUGUAUGCUUAUCAAAGAAUUCAUUGUAUGGCUUGAAUCAGUCAUAAAGGUAGUGGUAUAAAAUAUUUGAUACUUUUAUGCUUGGACACAGUUACUUUAGAAAUGACAAUGAUAGUUGUAUGUAUUUCAGAAAGCUCUCAAAUGGUUCAUUUAUGUACUUGUUAAUGACAUGUUGAUUACCUCCAAGAACAUGUAUGAAAUUAACAAUUUGAAGAACUAAUUGAGUGGUGAGUUUGAGAUGAAGGAUUUAGGUACAACCAAUAAGAUCUUAGGUAUACAAAUAUGCAAAGAUUGAAGUCCUAACAAGUUAUACUUGUCACAAAGAAAGUAUCUUAAGAAGGUACUUGAAUGUUUUGGUAUACAAGAUUGCAAGCCAGUUAGUACUCUACUUACAACCCAUUUUAGGUUAUCUUCAACUUUGUCACCAUAAACUAAGGAGGAAAAAAGCACAUGUUAAAUGUUUCAUAUGCUAGUGUAGUAAGGAGCAUUAUGUAUAUUAUGGUUUAUAUUCAUCCAGAAAUUUCACAUGUUGUUAGUGUGGUCAACAGGUUUAUGAUAAAUCAUGGUAAAGUUCACAAGCAUGCCAUGAAAUGAAUACUCUGCUAUCUUAAAGGUACUACAGAUAUUGGUCUGAUAUAUAACAGGAGUAGUGGCACUAGGAGUAAUGUUAAGGGUUUUGUAGACUCAGAUUAUACUAGUAGUUUGGAUAGAAGAAAAUCACUAACAGGUUAUGUUUUCACUAUUUUAGAGUGUGUCAUUAGUUGGAAAGAAAUUUCGCAAUCCAUUUUUUCCUUGUCAACAAUAGAGGCUGAGCAUAUGACAUUGACAAAGGGAGUGGAAGAAACUCUAUGGCUAAGAGGUUUGGUUUGUAAUCUUUGUUUAUCACACGAGUUGAUCAUUGUGCAUUAUAAUGACUAAAGUGCUAUUCAUCUAGUCAAGAACCAAAUGUAUCAUGGAAGGGUCAAACAUAUUGAUGUCAAGUUUUACUUUAUUCUAGAUAUCAUGUCAUAGGAUGUUAUAUCAGUGAAGAAGAUUGUUAUAACAGAAAACCCUGCAUAUAUAUUGACAAAGCCUAUCUCUGCAGUCAAGUUUAAGCAUUACUUGAACUUAAUUGGUUUGUGUAGUACUUGAGAGAUGCUUGAUGGAGGCAAUCAAAAAGGAGUUUAAGUUUCAUAAGUUGACUCAAUUUAAGCCAAGGUAGAGAUUUGUUAGGUUUAUCUUAAAUUGUAGCUCUCUAUGGGAGGAAAUAAAUACCUAUGUUAACCUAAUCCAUAUAAAAAAUCUAAAGUUAUCAUAUUUACAAGUCAAGGCUUAUUUGUGAGUGUUUAAAUUCUUUAUAUUUUUAUGGCUAGAUAGAAGAGAGAAAAUAUGAGUUUUGAGUUACUUUGGAAUUUGAAAUAUUUUACUUUUUCAAAUGAAUUUUUCUAAUAAUCUCAUCCACAGAGUAGAUUUAAGUUGCCAAACUAUAAAAAUUUUAUUAGCUCCUGUGUAAUUAAUUAUGUUUAUUUUUUUAUAUUUUUCUUAAAUUAAUUUGAAAUUUUAAGAUUGUUUUAAUUCCCAAGAUUUCUAUUGUGCUUCACUUUGAUGACAUAAUGUUUAGUGGAGUUAGCCAUGGGAAUUGAAAGGUUUCCUAAGAGGGACUUCAUAGGAAUUAAUAGACCAUUGUAAAACUUUUAAAGAGUUAAAUUAUUCAUAUAUUAUCUAACCCAAAAAAAAAUGCUUAAAUACUAUUUUUCAUCUUUUAAUCGAAAAUUUUCAAAAUUAGAUGAACUAAAGCUGUUUUACAAAUGAUUAGCCUCUUUUCAUUCAAAAGAUAUUUCAAACUUAUUAAUUAUUUAAAAGAGAAAGAAAAAAAGAACAAGAAGAAACUAUUGUUAGUUGACCUAUAAUAAAUUAAUAUGUAUUAAUUAUAUAAGUCAACUUGCAGUUAACAAGCCAAAAGAUAAAAUAAGAAUAAACCACAAAACAACAACUGGAAAUAUAAAACCACAAAGGCUAAAGAGAAUCAAUCCCCAACCAUGAUAGAGGUUUCAAAUUGAAUGUCAAACUACAAAAUCUUUCAAUUAUACCCUCCUACUAUCAUCUCUUAAAAUCAGUCCCUAGUUGCAUCUUACAAGGGAAAGCCAGGUUUUCAUACGCCUAGCACAUAAAUUAUAUUUUGAGUGUCAAAAACUAUUUGAUAUCAUAGAUAAGAAUUUGUUUUAAGAAUAUAAUUUAUACAAAUAGAGAGUUUUCAUACGCCUAAUGUUUUCUUCGCAAGCUAUAUGUUUUCUGGUAAUAUGAUGAUGUUGUUUCAAAUGAACUAAUUUGAUUACCAAACAAAGUUGACCUUAGUGGAAAGGGUUAGUUGUUUAAGCAAGUGGUCUCGUGUUUGAGCCCUUGUUAAUGCAGCAAAUUUUCUUUGGAGAAGUUCCAGUUUGGAUACCCGACGUAACCUCAAAGGGAAAUAGGCUAUGGAUGCCUUGAAGAAUAAAAAACAACCAAUUUGAUUAGGAGUUACAAUGAUAGAAAGAUUUUUUUAUUCAUUGAGGAAAGAUUAGGAUCAGAGGAGUCAAGAGGAAGAUGAGUUUUUAAAUCCAACUUCACUAGAAACUAAUCCUUUUCCUUAAACAGAUUGAUUAUUACUGGCUGCUAGCUAGAGUGGACAUUGUAAAUUUAUAUAUAUAUGUUAACGAGCCGUUAACAAACCGCAAGAUAAACUAAGAAUAAAUCACAAAACCACUACUGGAAAUAUAAAACAGGGAAUCAAGAGACCAUGGAGCCGCAGGUCCAAUCGGAGGAAACAACAAAACAGCAGAGAUCGUAGAUGGUUUUUCUCUUUAAAAUACUUGAAAUCAAUGGUUAACCAUAAGCAUGACAGACACACACAUGCUUCUGCUACUAUAAGAACCCACAAAGACAACCCUUUCUCUUCACAACACAAGAAACACAAAGUUCGUUCAACACAAGAAACAUAAAGUUCGUUCAAGACAAGAAAGAAUAUGUCAAGCACUGCUGGUCAAGUCAUUCGUUGCAAAGGUAACUGAGAAAAGCCACUUUACUUGGUUCUCGUUUUUACAUUUCUUGUUAUCUUUUGUCACUUAAAUAAUGGGAUGCGUGUAAUCAUCUGUAGCUGCUGUGGCAUGGGAAGCUGGAAAGCCAUUAGUGAUGGAGGAAGUGGAGGUGGCUCCACCACAAGCUAUGGAGGUUCGUUUGAAGAUCCUCUUCACUUCCCUCUGCCAUACUGAUGUUUACUUCUGGGAAGCCAAGGUUAUUAGCACUUCUAUUACGAUUUGUUUUUAUAAUCUGGGUGGUUGGCCUUCUUGUGUUCUUAGAGAUUGAUAAUAUAUAAUUAGCAUGGUUAAUUUGUCAUGUUGCAGGGGCAAACCCCAUUGUUUCCUCGCAUAUUUGGCCACGAAGCAGGAGGGUAUGAAUUUGAUCCAUUAGUUCAUUACUUUUUGUGCUACUUCGAUAAACUCAUUUUAUGUUGACAGUGAGGAAUGGGGGAGACUAAUUUGAUAUUUUCUUUUCUUGUAGGAUUGUCGAAAGUGUUGGUGAGGGGGUGACAGACCUGAAACCCGGUGACCAUGUGCUUCCUGUCUUCACAGGAGAGUGCAAGGAAUGCCGACAUUGCAAAUCAGAGGAGAGUAAUAUGUGUGAUCUUCUGAGGAUCAACACUGACAGAGGUGUGAUGUUGAAUGAUGGAAAGUCUAGAUUUUCAAUUGGAGGGCAGCCCAUUUACCACUUUGUUGGUACCUCAACCUUUAGUGAGUACACUGUGGUUCAUGUUGGCUGUCUUGCCAAGAUCAAUCCGGCUGCUCCUCUUGACAAAGUUUGUAUCCUCAGCUGUGGAGUUUCAACAGGUUAGGGGCGAAAUCCAAUUCAAUCUUUCUUCUAUGGAUGAAGAAUUUGUAGCUUUCAUGUAAUAAAGAUUUGUUUUUCUUUUACGUGUAGGUCUUGGUGCCACCUUGAACGUUGCAAAACCGAAGAAAGGCUCGUCAGUAGCCAUUUUUGGACUAGGAGCUGUAGGCCUUGCAGUAAGUUUCUUUUCCAAUACAAGAUUAGCGAGCAAUUUUCCUAUUCAGAAUGUGGAUGCUGAUGCAAAACUUGUUCGUGUUGUUUCUAUAUCACAGGCUGCUGAAGGGGCUCGAAUUGCUGGUGCUUCAAGAAUCAUUGGUGUCGAUUUGAAUUCCAAUAGGUUCAAUGAAGGUGAGAGGAGCAUUUACUGAGAUCAAAUUGCAAUGCAUCCACUGCUGAGUGCUCCUCUAAAAUUAUAUAUUGACUGAUAUACAUUUAGCACAGUCAAAUAGCCUAUAACAUGAAACUGAUAAAAUUAAGUAGCCUGAGUGUUGAUUCUUGGUAAUAAUGUUGCCCAUUGAGUCACGUUCUCUCUGUUGUAUUUGUAGCUGCUUUCUGAUGCUCAUUCUUGUUCUUUGUCAACAGCCAAGAAAUUCGGUGUCACGGAGUUUGUAAACCCAAAAGAUUAUAAGAAGCCUGUUCAAGAGGUUAGUGAGAUAGUGGAUCAUGGUUUGAGAAACAAGCGUGUGUGGAUCUCUCAAGUCUGUUCUAAAUUUGAUUCCAUGUCUUUAGGUGAUAGCUGAGAUGACCAACGGAGGAGUUGAUCGAAGUGUCGAGUGCACUGGAAGUAUUAAUGCCAUGAUUUCUGCCUUUGAAUGUGUCCAUGAUGUAAUUUUCGAUGAAUUCUUUUCAGUCAUUGAAAGUCAAAAAGAGAAUCACCGAGUUAAUAUGCUUAACAUUCUUGACGUUUUGCUUGCUUUGCAGGGAUGGGGUGUUGCUGUACUUGUUGGUGUGCCCAACAAAGAUGAUUCUUUCAAAACCCAUCCAAUGAGUUUCCUGAAUGAGAAGACUCUCAAGGGUACCUUCUUUGGCAACUACAAACCGCGCUCCGACCUUCCUUCAGUGGUUGAAAUGUACAUGAACAAGGUAUAUCUGAGUUCCCAUUAAUCUCACUCGGUAUGCAGUAUACGAAUAUAUUUCUGUAUAUGUAGUCGAAUUAUGGUCCCUGUGAAAUUUCUUCGUGGAAACUUGAAGGUAAAAUUAAUUGGUCAAAACAACAAACUAAAAUGAUCGAAAUUGAUUACUGGGAAUGAAACUUCUUAGCCUUCUUUGCUAGCGCAAUGCAAAUAGCACUCUGGGGAUAGCUCUGGCUGCUACUAGCUAAAUGUACCAGUGGUUUUGUAAAUGUGAGAGCUGGUUCCACCACACUACCAAACACAGGCUCAACACCAUUGCUUGGAUCUUGAAACUCUUGUGUGAAGAAACAAAACAGUAGCUAUUCCUCUAUUCAGUUUUGAUGCAUUCCUUGCAAUCAAUUGUUAACCUCAG